rnacentral:tRNA from 1 species
CAGCCAACAAGAGCUGCUAACUUUAGUGUGUGAGCCUAAAACCUCAGUCCCCUUA